rnacentral:rRNA from 1 species
GGACGGGUGAGUAAUGUCUGGGAAACUGCCCGAUGGAGGGGGAUAACUACUGGAAACGGUAGCUAAUACCGCAUAACGUCGCAAGACCAAAGUGGGGGACCUUCGGGCCUCACACCAUCGGAUGUGCCCAGAUGGGAUUAGCUAGUAGGUGGGGUAAUGGCUCACCUAGGCGACGAUCCCUAGCUUGGUCUGAGAGGAUGACCAGCCACACUUGGAACUGAGACACGGUCCAGACUCCUACGGGAGGCAGCAGUGGGGAAUAUUGCACAAUGGGCGCAAGCCUGAUGCAGCCAUGCCGCGUGUAUGAAGAAGGCCUUCGGGUUGUAAAGUACUUUCAGCGAGGAGGAAGGCAUUGUGGUUAAUAACCGCAGUGAUUGACGUUCUCGCAGAAGAGCACCGGCUAACUCCGUGCCACACCGCGGUAAUCCGAGGGUGCAAGCGUUAUCGAAUACUGGCGUAAGCCACCAAGCG